UGAUAUGAAUCUCCUCUUUUGCCUUGGACCUGCUUGCAUGGGGAAUUGUGGCAGAUUACUGUGCCCAUCACCUAGUAGAUGUUACUGUCUAUUUUUUACCUGGAUCCUGCCUACAGAAAGGAUUGUGACAAAUCAGUGGGCCAAGCAUCCCGGUGACGUGGCUCUUCUGUCUUAGCAAUUCCUAUAGUUGGGAUAGUGACAUAAACCUGGGUCAAGCAUCUGGGGUAAUUUGUGACAUACUGCUGGACCCAGCACCCAGGUCAUUUGACUCUCCUGCCUUGGCCCUUCCCACAGAGAGCAUUGUGACAUUGAGUGGGCUCAGCAGCCAGGUGAUACGACUUUCCUGCCAGGACUCUUCCAACAGAAGGGACAUUGACCUACUCAGGCUCAGUAUUCAGGUGGGAUGGUCACACAUUAGGCCCUGCUCACAGGUAUAACGAAGACUCGCAUAUGUGAACCCAGCCAAUAGAAGAGAUUUUAACUCUUCUAGCUAGGCUUAGACAAACAGCCAAUAGAUGAAAAAAGAUUCAAGGAAGACACAUUUGCUUUUUAUUCACUCAUCACUUGCCAUCACUAUGCUGACCAGAGUCAAUGUGAGCAGAGUUGAGAAUAGCAGUUUUCUGGCAGGAGAGCCACUUCUCAGCGAAAAAUGACACACUCAAAGUAUAAAUCUUUCAUGGAAGGCUCACAUAUUUUCAGCAAAUUAAGCAUAUGCAUGAAUAAAAUUCUUGUG